AAUCAAUUACAAAGAUAAAGUAACUAGUCUAAACGAUCAUUUUUGGUUUGGAAGCAAAGUCAAACCUAUUAAAGACCCACACUUAGAAGAAGCUAGGAUCAUUGAAAGAUCCAACAAUUUCUUAGGGUUUAGAUCAAGAACACAGUAACAAAGAUGUUGUUGAAGAUAAAGAGGGUAUUGAAGAUGAUCUAGCUGCUAAAGGAAUCACCAAACCCAUUCCAAACUUAAAAGAAGACUAAUUACUAUAAAGACAUAAAUGAGACUACUAAAAGAAAGAUUAAGAGAGAUUUUUGAUAUAGUUGAUAUGCUCAUAUCAGCUUCAGUUCAGCAGAUCUUAGCAGAAAAGAGCUUCGCACGGAUAUGGCUUUCAGUUUCUAAGAUGAGUUAUGAGAACACUCCACAACGAGAUUCGGAAGAUGUUAUCACUAGUUGCGGUAUUGUUAAACACCUUUCGGAGAAGUUAAUUCCUUAAAAAUCUCUUUCUUCAUGGGAGUUGUGUUUCAUAAGUAGAGCCCAUUUGUUGUUGUUUUCUUGAUGGACAAGGUUAAGAUUUUUUUGAUAAAAAAGAAACAAACAAACAACUGAGUCAAGGACUCACAUGUCUCAUUCCAUCGGACUGAGCCCAUAUCAUACAGUUACAAAGAAAGUAAACUGAUUUUUAGUCGUUAUUUAUGGUUGUUUUCCAAUCCAUAAUCAAAUUCCUGAAAUCGAGAAAUUUAAACCAAUAAAAAAGAAAUCCUCGUUAGUAAAUUAGGAAUUUAACUUCAAUUAUCACCAUCUCUUUGCAUCUGCCUAUCUUCUUGGCCAUAGUUCUUCUAUUUAUUUCUCCCCAAAGUGCCUAGCAAAUUGCAAACGGAAGUAUGUACCAAACCUUUUUUUGCUAGCUUUUACAACUGUCAGAAUGCCAGAGAGUGAACUGAACUUUUAGAGUAGUUUUUUGAUCCCCAAGCAUGAUCUAGAGAAUGAGAGAAGUAGUUCCAAUUUUUUUUUGAGAAUCUGUAGUGUAACAGUGCAUGGUCAACCUCCUCUUGAUCAAUGGUGCAGAGAGAUUUGAGAUUGUCCAAUGUGUGGAUGACAUUGUGGAUAACAAGCCAUGCCAAGAGUUGUGCCUUUGGGGGAACCUGUUUUCUCCAUAUAUAUUUGAAAUCAUCUCCAACUCCAGGCUGAAGAUUCUGUACUUUUCCAUAAAUACCCUUCUUUCACAGUACAUGUGGAUGAUGUUAGAAAAGAGAUGGAAUCCACAUUAUUCACCAGGGUUGGAGGAGCACCAAUAAUCGCAAGAAUAUUGAGUAGUUCUGCUUUGGUUUCUUCAUCUGGAGUGUGAGAGAGUUUUAAAUU